UCUUUUUUUCUUUUUCCCUCUCCCUUUCUUUCCUUAAGUCAUGUCUCAGCAGGCAGCUAACUGGCGACGAAAGAUCCUCAAGCAAGACAUCGAUGGUCUUGAGCAAUCCCUCGCUCAAGCCUUCGUUGAUCUUGAGAAGAAUGUUGACCCCUCUCAACGCGCUG
rnacentral:ribozyme from 1 species